GACGAACCGUGCGAACGUUGUUCGGAAUCACUGGGCUUAAAGGGCGCGUAGGCGGGCUGGUCGGUCAGGGGUGAAAUCCUCCGGCUUAACCGGAGAACAGCCUUUGAUACCGCCAGUCUCGAGGGAGGUAGGGGCAUGUGGAACUUCCGGUGGAGCGGUGAAAUGCGUAGAUAUCGGAAGGAACGCCGGUGGCGAAAGCGACGUGCUGGACCUCUUCUGACGCUGAGGCGCGAAAGCUAGGGGAGCAAACGGG
rnacentral:rRNA from 1 species